rnacentral:tRNA from 1 species
GAACAAACAAACCUAUUAAAAGAAUUGUGGUAGAACUUUAUAUAAGUCAUACACAAUGAUUAUAAAUACAUGA